rnacentral:rRNA from 1 species
GGCUUAGAAGCAGCCAUCCUUGAAAGAGUGCGUAAUAGCUCACUGGUCAAGUGGUUCCGCGCCGACAAUGUAGCGGGGCUUAAGCGUACCGCCGAAGCUGUGGCACUCACACGUGUAACACCUGGGCAGCGUAGUUGCCUUGUGGUGGUGUGGGUGGGUAGGGGAGCGUCCUGCGUGCGGUGAAGCCUGCUGGUAAUGGUGGGUGGAGCGUGUGGGAGUGAGAAUGCAGGCAUGAGUAACGAAUGACGGGUGGGAAUCCCGUCCGCCGAUUGACUAAGGGUUCCAGGGCUAGGUUUAUCCGCCCUGGGUUAGUCGGGUCCUAAGGCGAGGCCGACAGGCGUAGUCGAUGGACAACCAGUUGAUAUUCUGGUACCGCGUAACAACCGCCAAUACUGAAGCUUUUAUGCUAACCAUUUGCUUUCAUGUCGUCACAGCUUUCGGGUUGUGGUGGUUGUGGGAGUUGUGGGGCCCUGAUUGUUGUAGGUAAGCGUGUUAACAGGGGUGACACAGGAAGGUAGCUGCCGCGCACCGUUGGUUGUGUGUGUCUAAGGUUGUGGCCCGUUUCCUAGGUAAAUCCGGGGAACAUGAAGGGGUGAGGACUGAUGGGGGUGCCCCGUGUGGGGUGUCUGGUGGUGAUCCUCAACUGUCAAGAAAAGCCUCGACGUGAGGGUGUUACGCGCCCGUACCCUAAACCGACUCAGGUGGUCAGGUAGAGUAUACCGAGGCGUUCGAGUGAAUCAUGGUUAAGGAACUCGGCAAAAUUCCUCCGUAACUUCGGGAUAAGGAGGACCCCUUGGCCUGCCCCCGCCGCGCGCGGGGGCCGGGCCGGGGGGUCGCAGAGAAUAGGGAGAAGCGACUGUUUAUCAAAAACACAGGUGCGUGCGAAGCCGUAAGGCGAUGUAUACGCACUGACGCCUGCCCGGUGCUGGAAGGUUAAGAGGAACCGUCAACACCCCCCGGGGUGUGAAGCGGUGAAUUUAAGCCCCAGUAAACGGCGGUGGUAACUAUAACCAUCCUAAGGUAGCGAAAUUCCUUGUCGGGUAAGUUCCGACCUGCACGAAUGGCGUAACGACUUCUCCGCUGUCUCAACCGUGAACUCGGUGAAAUUGCAGUACGAGUAAAGAUGCUCGUUUCGCGCAGAAGGACGGAAAGACCCCGGGACCUUUACUAUAGCUUGGUAUUGGUGUUCGCUUGGACUUGUGUAGGAUAGGUGGGAGACUGUGAAGCUGCCGCGCCAGCGGUGGUGGAGUCGUCGUUGAAAUACCAUUCUGGUUCAAGCGGUCACCUCAACCUUGGCCCGUGAUCCGGGUUGGGGACAGUGCCUGGUGGGUAGUUUAACUGGGGCGGUUGCCUCCUAAAAUGUAACGGAGGCGCUCAAAGGUUCCCUCAGCCUGGUUGGUAAUCAGGUGGCGAGUGCAAGUGUACAAGGGAGCUUGACUGUGAGACCGACGGGUCGAGCAGGUGCGAAAGCAGGAACUAGUGAUCCGGCCAUGGCACGUGGGUGCGUGGUCGCUCAACGGAUAAAAGGUACCCCGGGGAUAACAGGCUGAUCUUGCCCAAGAGUCCAUAUCGACGGCAUGGUUUGGCACCUCGAUGUCGGCUCGUCGC